CACUCCUACGGGAGGCAGCAGUGGGGAAUUUUGGACAAUGGGCGAAAGCCUGAUCCAGCCAUGCCGCGUGCAGGAUGAAGGCCUUCGGGUUGUAAACUGCUUUUGUACGGAACGAAACGGCCUUUUCUAAUAAAGAGGGCUAAUGACGGUACCGUAAGAAUAAGCACCGGCUAACUACGUGCCAGCAGCCGCGGUAAUACGUAGGGUGCAAGCGUUAAUCGGAAUUACUGGGCGUAAAGCGUGCGCAGGCGGUUAUGUAAGACAGUUGUGAAAUCCCCGGGCUCAACCUGGGAACUGCAUCUGUGACUGCAUAGCUAGAGUACGGUAGAGGGGGAUGGAAUUCCGCGUGUAGCAGUGAAAUGCGUAGAUAUGCGGAGGAACACUGAUGGCGAAGGCAAUCCCCUGGACCUGUACUGACGCUCAUGCACGAAAGCGUGGGGAGCAAACAGGAUUAGAAACCCCAGUAGUCCC
rnacentral:rRNA from 1 species